rnacentral:misc_RNA from 1 species
AAGUCGUAACAAGGUAACCGUAGGUGAACCUGCGGUUGGAUCAUUAAUAAAUAUAUAUUUUUUAAAGAUAUAUUUUAAAAGUUGUUUUAAAAAAACCUUUUAAAUAUAUUCUUUAAACAAAUUUGUGAAUUUUAUUAAAGUCUUUUGGGUAGGUUUUCAAAAGAAAUUUACCCAAAAAAUUAUUAAAAACCAUUUGUAUCUUUUUGUUUAAGUCUUAAAAUUUUUAAUUUAAAAAAAAAUAAUUAAAAAACAACUUUCAACAACGGAUCUCUUGGUUCUG